UUUUGNNNNCNUGGCUCAGGACGAACGCUGGCGGCGUGCCUAAUACAUGCAAGUCGAACGAACUCUGGUAUUGAUUGGUGCUUGCAUCAUGAUUUACAUUUGAGUGAGUGGCGAACUGGUGAGUAACACGUGGGAAACCUGCCCAGAAGCGGGGGAUAACACCUGGAAACAGAUGCUAAUACCGCAUAACAACUUGGACCGCAUGGUCCGAGCUUGAAAGAUGGCUUCGGCUAUCACUUUUGGAUGGUCCCGCGGCGUAUUAGCUAGAUGGUGGGGUAACGGCUCACCAUGGCAAUGAUACGUAGCCGACCUGAGAGGGUAAUCGGCCACAUUGGGACUGAGACACGGCCCAAACUCCUACGGGAGGCAGCAGUAGGGAAUCUUCCACAAUGGACGAAAGUCUGAUGGAGCAACGCCGCGUGAGUGAAGAAGGGUUUCGGCUCGUAAAACUCUGUUGUUAAAGAAGAACAUAUCUGAGAGUAACUGUUCAGGUAUUGACGGUAUUUAACCAGAAAGCCACGGCUAACUACGUGCCAGCAGCCGCGGUAAUACGUAGGUGGCAAGCGUUGUCCGGAUUUAUUGGGCGUAAAGCGAGCGCAGGCGGUUUUUUAAGUCUGAUGUGAAAGCCUUCGGCUCAACCGAAGAAGUGCAUCGGAAACUGGGAAACUUGAGUGCAGAAGAGGACAGUGGAACUCCAUGUGUAGCGGUGAAAUGCGUAGAUAUAUGGAAGAACACCAGUGGCGAAGGCGGCUGUCUGGUCUGUAACUGACGCUGAGCUCGAAA
rnacentral:rRNA from 2 species